AUGGUGAAUUUCAGAGUGAGCAGAUUUGGCCGUACUGGAUGCCUGGUCACCAGGGCUGCUUUCAAUGGUGAUAGAAUGGAUCUUGUUGCUAUCAAUGACCCCUUCAUUGGCCUCAAAUACAUGGUCUACAUGCUCCAGUAUGAUUUUACCCAGGGUAAAUUCAAUGGCACAGUCAAUGCUGAGAAUGGGAAGCUUGUCAUCAAUGGAAAAUCCACCUCUAUCUUCCAGAAGUAAGAUCCCACCAAUAUCAAAUAUUGAUAUUUGAUGCUGGUGCUGAAUAUGUGUGGAGUUCACUGGUGUCUUCAUUAAACAUGAAGAAAGCUGGAGCUCAUCUGAGGAGUGGUGCCACAAAGGUCAUCAUCUCUGUCCCUUUUGCGAUGCCCCAUGUUUGUGAUGGGUGUGAGCCAUGAGAAGUACAACAACUCCCCCAAGAUUGUCAGCAAUGCCUCCUAUACCACCAAAUGCUUAGCUCCCCCGGGCCAAGGCCAUCCAUGAUAACUUUGGCAUUGUGGAAGGACUCAUGACCACAAUCUGUGCCAUCACUGCUACUCAGAAUACUGUGGACGAUCCCUUUGGGAAACUGUGGCAUGAUGGAUAUGGGACUGCCUAGAAGAAUAUCAUCCCUGUAUCCACUGACUCUGCCAAGGCUGUGGGCAAGGUCAUCCCUGAACUGAAUGGGAAGCUCUCUGGCAUGGCUUUCCGUAUACCCAAUCCCAACAUGUCAUUUGUGAAUCUGACCAAAUAUGAUGACAUUGAGAAGGUGGUGAAUCAGUCAUAGAGGGCAUCUGGGGCUACAUGGAGGACCAGGUCAUCUCCUAAAACUUUAACAGUGAUACUCACUCUCCCACCUUCGAUGCUGGGACCAGCAUUGCCCUCAACCACCACUUUGUCAAGCUCAUUUCCUGGUAUGAAAAUGAAUUUGGCUACAGCAACAGGGUGGUGGAUCUUAUGGUCCACAUGGCCUCCAAGGAGUAAGAGCCUC